rnacentral:rRNA from 1 species
UACGGGGGGUGCGAGCGUUGUCCGGAAUCACUGGGCGUAAAGGGCGCGUAGGUGGUUUGAUAAGGGUGUGGUGAAAGUCCGGGGCUCAACCCCGGAUCUGCCGUGCCGACUGUCAAACUCGAGGACUGUAGAGGCAGACGGAAUUCCGGGUGUAGCGGUGGAAUGCGUAGAGAUCCGGAGGAAGACCGGUGGCGAAGGCGGUCUGCUGGGCAGUUUCUGGACGCUCAGGCACGAAAGCGUGGGGAGCAAACAGG